rnacentral:lncRNA from 1 species
CAGGCCUCCUUUGCCAGAGACAAAAAUAACUAUUUUCAAAAUUCACAGCAGGGCUUUCGCCUACACACGCUGCACGGACUGGAAGCUGAAGNNNNNNNNNNNNAACGCAGUGUGCAGAUAGAGGCCGCUACCCAGCCAGCGAGCCCUGAAACCCCCACGCCCUCCUCCCCACCGCCCAGCCCGUGUCCCCCAAUACACACACGCCCAGUGGUGCCCAGAACACCUAGGGGGUGGGUUCUCAGUUCAUUCACUGUACACAGGGACAGUGAGGUCCAGAGGGGGCCCGAGGCCACACAGAGGAUCUGGGGCAGGACUGGGCCAGAACCCACAUGUUCUGUCCCCUGGACCAUACCCAGGACCAAUGGUGAGCUCACACCUGGCCCAGAACACACGUGCACACACCCACACCAGCUCAUAGCACUGCAGCCCUCACUUCUGUGUUCCUGCGUUUUAAUCAAGUUCACGGGUUCCUCUAUAACCAUUACUGCGGCCGGUUCUCUACAGGCCUGUGAGGUAGGCAGAGCCAGGGCUACCAUCCCCUUGUGCAGGUGUGGAAUUCGAGGCCCAGGAAAGAGGACUGGGCCCAAGGUCAGAGCAGAACCCAAAUGCUCUGAUGGUUGGCGUGGGGCUCUUUGCACAGUUGCUUCCACUACUUUAGAUCCUGCAGCAGCUAACAGCCAGGCCCAGUCCUCCCCUUCCCUCCCAGGAAGGGGAGCUCACCACCACCAGUCUGUCCCCAGGACUGGCCCAGGUCUCAUGAGGAGCCAGGAAGGUCCCAGGCCCCUGCACCUCCAACCUCAGUACUCAGGGCAUGGCUUCAGACAGAGGUCAAGAUCGUCAUGCCUCAGCUCGGGUCCAGGCCUGGAGCUGCCUCCGGGUGGCCCCUCACCCUGGAAGUACCACAAAGGUUCAGGGUUCAAGAGCAAGGCCUUAAGUGAGCUAGGCGGUGACAAAGUCGGUGGGAACUUCACUGUGGUCCCAGGCACCAGAUCCACACCACAGAGCGACAAAGUCAUUAGAGCUCAUCCUCCAGAUGAGGGAAAUGAGGCUCAGAGAGCUCGUGCAGGUCACCAAAGGUUAUAG